GACGAACGCUGGCGGCGUGCUUAACACAUGCAAGUCGAGCAAUGAAGUUCCUUCGGGAAUGGAUUAGCGGCGGACGGGUGAGUAACACGUGGGUAACCUGCCUCAUAGAGGGGAAUAGCCUUCCGAAAGGAAGAUUAAUACCGCAUAAGAUUGUAGUGCCGCAUGGCAUAGCAAUUAAAGGAGCAAUCCGCUAUGAGAUGGACCCGCGUCGCAUUAGCUAGUUGGUGAGGUAACAGCUCACCAAGGCGACGAUGAGUAGCCGACCUGAGAGGGUGAUCGGCCACAUUGGGACUGAGACACGGCCCAGACUCCUACGGGAGGCAGCAGUGGGAAUAUUGCACAAUGGGGGAAACCCUGAUGCAGCAACGCCGCGUGAGUGAUGACGGUCUUCGGAUUGUAAAACUCUGUCUUCAGGGACGAUAAUGACGGUACCUGAGGAGGAAGCCACGGCUAACUACGUGCCAGCAGCCGCGGUAA
rnacentral:rRNA from 1 species